UCUUAUCACGAGGAGCACUUUU
rnacentral:miRNA from 1 species